rnacentral:rRNA from 1 species
AAAACGACUCUCGGCAGCGGAUAUCUCGGCUCUCGCAUCGAUGAAGAACGCAGCGAAAUCACGAUACUUGGUGUGAAUUACGACAGAAUCCCGUGAACCAUCGAGUCUUUGAGCAUGAGUUGCGCCCAAACCUCUGGCCGAGGCACGCUCUGCCACAGGUGUCACAA